rnacentral:rRNA from 1 species
AUUGAACGCUGGCGGCAUGCCUUACACAUGCGAGUUGAACGGCAGCGCGGGGCAACCUGGCGGCGAGUGGCGAACGGGUGAGUAAAAUAUCGGAACAUACCCUAGAGUGGGGAUAACGUAGCGGAAGUUACGCUAAUACCGCAUACGCACUAAGGUGGAAAGUGGGGAUCUUCGGACCUCAUGCUCAUGGAGUGGCCGAUAUCUGAUUAGCUAGUUGGUGAGGUAAAGGCUCACCAAGGCGACGAUCAGUAGCUGGUUUGAGAGAACGACCAGCCACACUGGAACUGAGACACGGUCCAGACUCCUACGGGAGGCAGCAGUGGGGAAUUUUGGACAAUGGGGGGCAACCCUGAUCCAGCAAUGCCGCGUGAGUGAAGAAGG